UACGAAGGGUGCAAGCGUUGUUCGGAAUUAUUGGGCGUAAAGGGUUCGUAGGCGGGAGAAUAUGUCGGAUGUGAAAUCCUCAGGCUCAACCUGAGACGUGCAUCCGAAACUGUUUUUCUUGAAUGUUGGAGAGGGAAGUGGAAUUGCUGGUGUAGGAGUGACAUCCGUAGAGAUCAGCAGGAACACCGGAGGCGAAAGCGACUUCCUGGCCAAACAUUGACGCUGAGGAACGAAAGCGUGGGGAGCAAACAGG
rnacentral:rRNA from 1 species